UUACGGGCAAAGGCAGCGAAAGCUGCUGACGCAAAGCCUUGAGUCUAACCUUUAAUUUGUUUAGAGUAUGAUAGUCCGGCUGCA
rnacentral:ncRNA from 1 species